rfam:Bacteria symbiont BFo1 of Frankliniella occidentalis strain BFo1 contig001, whole genome shotgun sequence.
AUUUAACGGUGACUGUUUUCCCUGCUUCGGAUUCAGUUACCAGGUGCAAAGAGUUGACGCUCUUAUCACCUUCGAAAAAACCACCUUGCCGGGUGGUUUUUUCGU